GUACCGUGAGGGAAAGAUGAAAAGAACUUUGAAAAGAGAGUUAAACAGUACGUGAAAUUGUUGAAAGGGAAACGAUUGAAGUCAGUCAUACCAACGGGAAAUCAACCUUUUGAGCUCGGUCUCGUGGGUUUUGAAGAGUUUCAAAGCCUUCGGAUUCGCGAGAUUGGGAUCUCUCGGUGUACUUUCUCGUACGGUUAGUCAACAUCGGUUUUGAAUGUCAUAAAAUGACUGGAGGAAUGUAGCUUCGAUCUCGUAUUGAAGUGUUAUAGCCUUUGGUAGAUGUGAUGUUUGAGACCGAGGAUUGCAACGGAUACCCUUCAGGGCUAUUCGUCUGAUCUCUGAUACGUUGCCCUGAUGUUGAAAGCUUGCUUAUGAUGUUAGGGUAUUACGGUCAAAAGGUUAGAACUCAUUAGAUUCGUUAAGG
rnacentral:rRNA from 1 species